GUGUUCUGAAAGAAUUUUAACAACUCUAUUAACGAAGUAUAUUUCGAGUACAUAAUAUUCUUUCAAAGGUCUAUAAGUAAAGUGCCAGAAAUACGAGGAAAGAUCUUGGCAAGUUGGAAAUUUGAAAUUUCAAUAUGUAUAAAAUACACAUUGCACACGAUUUCCAUAAGACACCACACAAACUCUUGAAAAUUACCUAAUGCAUGGAAUGUGCAAUACGAUCGAACGCUCAAUUAUAAUAAAAAUACGAUUGUCAGAAUCUUGGCAAAAUUUACACCACGAGCAGAAGCAUCCGCAGAUUGUAAAUUUCUAGGUUAUUCUCAAAUAAUGAAAGAAGCGUGAAAUUGUUUACCUUGAAGUGCACCCGAAGGUUCGAACCGCGUGCUUUGCACGAUUUGGUCGCAUUAUCAGGCUCACGAGAAUACCGUCCCAUUUUGCA
rnacentral:lncRNA from 1 species